GGCCUGCUAAGUCGCUCCCUUCCCCCAGACCUCCAUAGAACAUAUCCCCUCUCCUUUAUCCUUUUAUUAACACAGCCUACACAGCGAAAUAGUUGCUGUAAAAUCAAAUUUAUUGACUACUUUGCUUUCAUAUAUAUUUUAAUCCAUUCUCUACAACAAGGUGGUCAAGUCAGCUGCGUUCCCAAGGUCAGGUCAUUUUUAAAAUGCUUAGAGGGUUAAGAAAUGGCUCAUGGUUAAAGCAGUUGCCAAACAAGUAUGAGGACUGGAGAUCUGAUCCCCAGAGCCGACAUGAAUACAGGCAGGUCAAAUCCCCAGAGUACAGUGUGUGCUGGUGCAUGUGUGGGUUGGGGUGGGGUCAGGCAUUACUUGGAGACUCAAUAAGAAGUUUAAGGCCAGGAAAGAAAUUAUUGAGGAAAACGCUAGCAAUAUGGGGCAUGAUUGAGUCUCAGGGUAACACCAUUCUUGGGCUCAGAGCAGAAUCUGGCCACUGGCCUUCAAAUCUGCAACUCCCCUCAUGCUCCUCCAACCUCUUCCAAUCUUUAUUUCUGAGACUAUGCAAAUGAGACAGGCUGACUUAGUAUCUGUGGUAGUUCUUUGACUGGCUCUUUCUCAGCGGCUUUAAUUCCCCCCCCCCCCCCGAUCUCUUCUGCAUGAGGUUUUCCUGUUUACUGGGCCAUCCCUCCAACCAGUGAUUAUUUCCUGAGAAUAAGAUUCUGAACAGGGCAUUGAGAAAUCUUUCAAUGCAGCCUAGGUAUGAAGGUAGGGAGGCCAAGUCAGAUGGAUGAAACCUGGGGUCACAGUGUUCGUGGCCCACCUAUCCAUCAUCUUCCAGCCAACCCUGUAAGAAAUCAAUGAGUUGGAAUCCCAAAUUGAAAGAGAUGAGCAUGUUUCUCACAGUGGAUCCCUUCCCUCCAAGAAGUCUUCUUAGUGGCAGCAUUAACCUCACUAGCUGCACCACACUGACUUCACUGGCUGCACUGCACUGACCUCACUGGCUGCACUGUACUGACCUCACUGGCUACAUUGCAUUGACCUCACUGGCUGCACUGCACUGACCUCACUGGCUACAUUGCAUUGACCUCACUGGCUGCACUACACUAACUUCACUGGCUGCACUGAAUCAACCUCACUGACUGCACUGCAUCAACCUCACUGGCUGCACUGCAUCAACCUCACUGGCUGCACUGCAUCAACCUCACUGGCUGCACUGCAUCAACCUCACUGGCUGCACUGCAUCAACCUCACUGGCUGCACUGCAUUGGCCUCACUGGCUGCACUGCAUUGGCUUCAUUCACUAGCUGCACUGAGAUUGACCUCACUAGCUAUACUGCAUUGGCCUCACUAGUUGUACUGCACUGACCUGAUUAGUUGCACUGCAUUGGCCUCACUAGCUGCACUGCACUGACCUCAUAUGUGCACUGCUUGGCCCCAUCAUCUCUAGCUUCCAGAUACCUUCUCUUAGUGGGUAGCAAGGCAAGGAGAGAUGCCUGUGUUUGUUGCAGUGUUCUCAUGGCAGUGUGCUACAAUGUAGGCAGCAGAUGUGGGCUUCCAUGAUGCUAGCUUUAGCUAUUCUCCAGGGGCUCCUCUAGGCAUCUCCAGGCUCCCAAACACAGUUCUCUCCUGCUGCCUAUUCAUCCCACAGGCCUCUCACUGUUCAGCACAGCUGGAUGCCUCAAAUUCUCUAGGCCUUCUAAACCUGCCUACACCUGUCAUCCCUUCAUCAACCUCUCUUCAACCCUGCACUUGAGUGUGUCUCCUGUGCCCUGUGGGACCCUGGCAGCUGUCUUCUGUCACCACUUGGAUCAUAGAAAACACUCUAGCCACACCUGAACCUGCAUCACUGCACACCUACUUUUGCAGUAAAUUUCUACUUACUUUUUAUAAACUAGUCGAACAUACUACACAGAUGGAGGAGAGGGUCAUUGGUAUUCCGCAUUUAUUCACAGUUUUGGUUCUGUUCCCCUCGGUACUGAGGGGAAAGCUGCAGCCCACCAGCCACAACAGCAAGUUGACUCCCAACCGUCACUAUUAAAUGAGGGUGGGUUAAACUGAGACGAUGAUAAACAUUUAUCCUGAGUAACUGCAGGAUGUAAUAAGUGUUUAUCCUGAUUCCAAGUACAUGGGGAGACCUUGGUCUGCACCUCUGCUCAUUCUAGAUGCCAUCAUCGAAUGUUUGAGUCCACCCUCUGCCAUGCUGGGUUCUGAGCAGAGGCAAGGACUCGGUUUUAUGGGCCAAUUUUCUUUUCUUCAUGUAUUCACAAAAUUGGGUCUGUGAGAUUUCUAAGAAUGUAAACUAUAUUAAAUGGUCUCUGGUUUUUUCUUAAGCAUUCGCAAACACACACAGUGUCUAAGAACACAAUUGGUCUCCUCGAGGUCAACUGCUUACUAAGAUUGAGUUCUAAAACCCAGGUUCAGACCACCUUCAGGAACAAAUUCUUAUUAAGUGAAAUAAAUAUUACCUAUUCCAGGAGAGACUGCCCCAGGGACUAAGAAACUCCAGCUGUGGGAGUAUCUCAGAUUAAUGGUUGGUUUCCAGGAGCCCCACACAGAAAUUGCCCAGUCUGACUUCAGUGCUGGCACGAACUCUUUCAGCUCAGUAACACUGGCUCAAAGGGACCUGUUGGGUAUGUACGACACGUGGACCGUAGCACAUAAGCCAAGACUGAAGUGUCACUACAUGGCACUGGGCCGUGAGGGCUGGCUCACCUUUAAAAAGAGACGGUCUAACAUAAUACAUCUUGGUGUGCUUUGUGGUGUUAAAACAGGCAGAUUCAGAAGUCUCCAUUUUCACGGGAAACGCAUUAGGCAUGUGAUACAACCCUAUGCUGGCUCUUGUGGCAACUUCAUAAGCUACUGGUUUAGGACAAAAAGAAAUUUAGAAUACAUUUACUAUUGAGGUGUUAAGGUCUGGUCUGAUUACAGCGUUAAAAAAUAAAUAAAUAAAAACCUAACUUCGUAUGAAAGUAGACACUGAAGGUGAGACGUGUUUGGUGCAAACAGUGGUGACUAGGGGAAUUCCAAAAAGAGAAACCACAGAAACUGUCAGUGGAGACUUUGAGAGAAAAAUACUCGUUUUCUGAACAGCAACAGUCUCUGUUUUAAGAUGUAACAAGAGAAUGCCGUAUUAUCUAUUUCAAUCAACCCAUUUUCUUUAUUGCAGAGGCUCACCGACCAAACAGUCUAAUAGUACAAUGCUUUAUGGGUAUGCAAACAAUGAUUGAAUGCACUUAUUCUUUGAUAAGCUCCUGCAGAUGAAGUGUGCACUCUGCAUUAAUUAUUACCAACGUGGCAGGAAGUGAACACAAGUCGAGAGUAGCUGCUUUCAGAGAAAUGAAGGUGGAGAAAUUAUGCCCUCUUUCCUCGCCACUUUCUAUUGAUCUUCUUAGAGCAAUUUCAGAAAAGUUGCAAACCAAUAAUUUACACCGGAUUUUUUUUUAAAAAGGAGUUCAAGGAAGAUGGGUAAUAAAAAAAAUGAGAAAAUGUCUCUAGCUGGACCAUGUUCUACUAUGAAGGGCACACUGUCUGAAUGGCUGGCCAUUUUUCUUGCCUUAUCUGAAGGCUUAAUGCUGGUAAGGGAGAUGAGGAGGAGCUACCCUCUUCCCUUCUGCUAGCUGUCAGGCCUUGCAACUUAGCAGGAACACGGCUAUUUCAGUUCAGCAAGCUCUCUCUGUGCAAGCAGCCUUGGACUACGCAGAGACUUGGACUACGCAGAAAUGGAACCACAUCUCUCCUCCCCCUCCGUUUGCUUUUACAGUCUACUGUCCAGCUCAUUUCGACUUAUUUGGACUUGGAAAGAAACACUUCUCUGUCUGCAAUGAGCAACCCCAGACAGUUGUAAAGCUGUACAAACUACAAGAAAGCUUUCCUCGGUUCACUGCAACUUCCCAGGUACUUCUGUCAUCCCCCCAGUGACUCACGGGUAACUUUGGUCGCCCUGAGCACCAAGACUACAGAAUUUCGGGUUGUUACUUCAGAAAUGACAGCAGCCGUUAACUUUAUGGCAAAUUGUAAGUUUAUUAACAAGUGGUAGAACUUGUUUUCCCGCCCAGGAUGAAAACAAGUCUUAACUUGUUACUUUAGGUGAUUGUGAGCAUGCAGUCCUCUCUCUCCACAGCAGAAGACUGGGGAGAAACAAGCCUUCUCCUGGAGAUUUAGUAUAUACAUCAGUUUGCUGAUUUGAGCCUGGGCAAUCUCAACUUUUCUGUUCUUUUCUCUUUUUUCAUUCAGCAAUAGUGGUGUAUAAUUUGAAAUUCCAGGAAAUGAUAAUAAAAGGGUGGAUGUUUUUUUCCUGCCCAGUAAUUAUGUCCAAUAUUAAAGUCAUGUAAUAUGAAAUAGAAACCAUGGUUACUUAGCAUUUAAGUUUCUCCUUCAUACCACGCUGCUGGUACAGUGGCCUCUUUGAUGCAGUUAUCUUUGACUAUCAAUCCAUAUUUGUAUUCUCCACAGAAACACAACCCUGGUCACACUCUCAAAGAAAAUACUUUUUGCAGGGUCUCUCUAUCUGAGUGAUUUCUGCCCAUUCAGACUUCACACAGAGAGAAAAAGACCCAUAAUGCACUCUUCCAUUCCUACCCUCAAGAGAGCGAAUGUGCAGAGAGCAAGGAGUCUUGCCUUAAAAAGGAAGUGUUUGCUGAAGUUGGAUGGAGAAUGGUCAUGCAGAAAAUAUGACUUAAACUGUUGCAUUCUGAAGAGGACAGGGAGGGCCACUACCACAAAGCCAUACAGAAACAAGGCAGCCCACCAUGGGCUUGUUUUAAAGAUCCGCAGCUUGAAGCAGAACCCAGGCUAUGACGGCAAUACUUUCAGGAGGAUGAAACAAGAGGAUCGCCAUAACUCUGAGGCCAGCCCAAACUACAAUGACUAUGAGGCUAGCCAAGGGCUAUGUGGCGAGCUCUCAUCCAAAACAAAAAAACCGAACAAGCAAACUCAAACAAAACGGAUUCACAGUUUGCGCCAUUAGAAUUCUAAGCACUUCAAUGGCACCACAGAUCCUAAUGGGCUCUGAGCCCACAGGGCACCAUUCACUUUUCCGUUCCAAGCCUCUGCAGAUGCUGUGCCUGACAGUGAUGUGAUGCUUUCCAAGGCUGCUUCCUCAGAAGACACUGAUUUUUCAAACCUCCCCCUUCCCUGCAUUCUCUAGGAGUUAAAGGAAGCAUGAAAAAGAAAAUCAAUCAGGCUACAGGAUGUGUCAAAAAUAAGGACAAACAUCAAACUGUUCAGUUAACUUUAAACUUCGCCAUUCAGGAAAGAAGUGCAAGUUGCAGGCGGCAUUUAAGGCCAUAAAAUGGUUAUUACCCUGCAGUAUUUAUGUAGCACUCUAGGCUCCAGAUGCAUCACAACCACUAAUUACACAGCUGUCUGGCUGUCCCAGUACGGGAGUUUGGUGUCAUUAACCACAGUACACAGGCAGAAAAUAGGAGUUGAGUGACAGGGCUCAGGUUACAGACUAAGGAAGGUAGGAAGAAGUGACUGUGCUUAGAAGCUCUGACCACACAGACAUCGGACACUGCCUUGGGUUUAACAUACAAGGGGGUUAAACACUGGGGUAGAAUCGUCAGAAUCCACCUCCUCAGUUGUUCACACCAGUGGUUCUGGAAUGGUGGACUGUGUCAGGUCCCUUAAAGUUAGGAGCUUAUUACAACAGUCUCCUGGCCUCACCUCCAACUCCUGCAACUCCUCCAACAGUCUGCAGAACACCAGACUGUAUUUCUGGAAAGUUCCCAGGUGAGGAUGGAGGUCUGUGGCACUCAACUGUGAAGGCCUCCCACUUCACACCAGUCUUCCUCAGGCACCCCGCAAUCUGCCUCCUCCCUCUCUAGGCUGCAUCUUUAGACUUUUAAUCCUUUUCCUCACUUUCUAGCUGUCACAUCCCUGCCCUCAGUCACACCCUGUCCCACAGAUAGAAAAUGAGGCCAUCGGGGUGCAACUGGCAUCUAUCAAGAUGUCUCCCCUCAACUCAAGUUGAGGUCCUUCUGUCCUUGCAUCUACAAAAUGGACUGGUGCACUACUUAUUAAUUAAGGGUUAGUUGAGGUCACCUGCUGAGGCACCGAAUGCCUGCAGGGAGUACAAGCUCAUUAGUAAUUAUUGUUAUUACUACGUGUUUGUCCUACAUCCAUCGAACACAUUCUAGAGCUCUGUAAAGGGGAUCAGGAUAGGACGACGAGUCCCCACCCCUAUCCCCAAGCAGUUUCACAUCUGUGCUUGUACUAGAUGAGGGCAUUACAGUCAUCUGUGAUGUUGGACCACGUGAACGUUUACAAAGAUGCCAUCCGUUAGUGAUCAAUCAGGCAGCAAUAAAACCUGUCUCCAGUGAAAGCCGAUGGAAAGAUUCACAGCUACUUGUCCAUCUGCUCGGAUUUAAUGGCAGAGUGAGGAUGGAUGUACUCCCAGGUCUCACUUCUUCUACUUCUGUAGAGCUGUUGUUCACUUAGAAACCUACAGAACAGGCCAUCCCUCCUUCCCUGAAGUAGAAGAAAGUAUGGUCCACAGAGGUGACAUUGUUUGCAAAUGAGGCCACCUGCAGGGAGAGUACCAGCUGGGCCAGGACAGAAUUGGUGGUGGGAAGGGCCUACCAGUUUCUCUGAAGUUGACUGGACAGGCUAGAUUUACAGAAAAGGACACAGCGAUCUGAGACUAUUUAUCAGUGGGUACCAAUGACAAGUCUGGCAGUCUAACUUCUAACCCAAGUUUCUUCCUCUCAGUCCUUUUCUCACAUCUUCCUUGAAAACAGGACUCUGGGAUAGAACACUCAUUCCCCUCAGAAUGAGGCUGGUACAUGUGUCUCUCUACUUGGUGCAACAAAGGACAGCAUCCUGGAGAGGUGCAGUAUUUCAAUCCAGCCACUAAACCACACGCAGGGCUUCCUUUGUCUCUGCCUCUCUCUGACAGCUAUUAGCAUUUUAGCUAGGAUCACAGGAAAAGUAGAAGAGGCCUUGGGUGGCUUGCUGUGCUUGGGGCCAGGUAUCAGAAGUCUCCAUUCAGCUGGCAUCCUUGGUAGGAAGCUGAGGGACCUGCAGAGGAGGACAGAGUUCUAGCCUUGUUUCCAGGCUUCCCAGCUAACAACGUUUGGAAAGCAACGAUGACCAAAAAGAAAACAGUACCCAACGUGAGAAGAAUUUGAUGGAUAAGGACACCUAACUGGCCUAAAUGAGUUUGAACCUCAAAUCCCAGACAAGUUGUGCCCAGUUCAGAGGACACUUCCCUGCAGAACGGCCACCUUGCUGCAGAGCCUUUGAAGAAAAUGCGAUUCAUAAGAGUUUGGCUAGAAGCGAGGCACUGUGGGUUGGGGAGGGGGAAGAAUCUAAGAGCUACAAGCUGAUUCCAGAGAUGAUCAAUGAGACAGAUUAUAAGGGAAUGAGCCUGGUGAUGCCUGGAUGCUAGCCUCACAUCCAUAAAAAGGAAAAAUCCAGAUAAAUACCUGUCACUUCUUUCCAGGGAAAAGCCACACAGUGUGUAUUUGGGGUUGGGGGGGCAGGUAGGGAGUGGAGUAAAAGCAAAGUAGGCAAGAGAGAAGAAUUUGACGUGAUUAUUAUGACCAUAAGGCAAAAACCAGUACCAGUGGAGAGGUAACCAACAGGCUGACUGGCAGUCACAGACAUCAUGUAUUAGUUGGAAGAAAACAUUAUUUCUUGGUCUUAUCUCAGACAAUCUUUGACCAAUGGCGUAUUCUUAUCAAAACUAUCCUGGGGGACUGGAGAGAUGUCUCAGCAGUUAAGAGCCUGCUCUUCCAGAAACCAUGGGUUCAAUUCCCAGUAUCUACAUGACCGCUCAAAACUCCAGUUCCAGGGGAUUGGACACCCUCUUACAGACAUAUGUGUAAGCAAAACACCAAUGCAUAUAAAAAAAGUAAGGAUAAAUAAAUCAUUGAAACAACAACAACAAAAACCCUGUCCCUGCACCACUGAUCGAAGAAAACUUCACUCUAUUUGCAGGAAGUAAGCUGUCUGCCAUUUCUGAAACAAGAAACUUGGAAGCUGGGAUUACCAGCUGGGUGGGGUAAAUACUACAGUAGAUGGGAAGCUGUGGAUUUCCAAAGAGCUGAGUAGCUUGACACAGAAGGCCAUGCAAUUUUAGUCUCACAGCAAUGAAAAUAUAACAUUUCGGCAAGAAAGUUUUUGUUGUUGUUGUCGUUUGGUUUUUUUUUUUUUUUUUAUUAUUGUAGAAACCCAACCUAGUGGAGGAACAUGCGAUACAGUUACAGAAAUUGAAAUCCAGGCAAAUUCAAUAGCAUUAAAGGUUGACUAAAUGCACAGGUGAAAAUGGAAGCCUAGGCUGUGCGAGCAAUGGGGUGAUACUGGCUUCAGUCAGACUAGUGUGAGGUCUAGGCCACAUGCAUGGUAAAGCCAUAGGAAACGAGUAGGGCAUGGGAAGGGGAGAAGGUAAAGAUUCUAGUAAGACCGAGGUGAGGGAAUUGGAUAAGCAAUAUCUGUGGUGGAGCCUGGUCUAUACGUUCAAGAAACAGAAUGACCAGAGAAAGCGUACUGAACGGUCCAAAGAACAGAUGCAGGGCUCCCAUGAGGAACUCCUUGCCAAAAACUUCCAGAGGCUACAGAAGGUAGAACGUUCUCCACACAGGGGCCUCUCAAGAUGAUGAGACAGCGCUUCCCAAGGUGGGGGUCCAGCCAUCCCCUUGCUGUCGUAGACUGGGGUGCUGUUAAUUUGACUAAAUGUGCAGCAAAUGACCCUUUGCUUCUGAAGCAGAGACCCAAGACUUGGAGCUGCCAGCCAGAGAACUCCUCCUAGCCAUUAAACCACGCAGAGAUCGCAAUAAAUCCAGCUAAUGAGAUGCAGGGUCAUGGGGACCUUUCAUCUUCAGAGCCUGGGCGUUUUCUCACCAAUUAUUGCUUUUAAUCUUUGAAAUACUCCCACUAGGUGAGGAGGGGGGCAAGUUUCAUUUCGCCCAUGUUGUAACUUGAGAAGACUGGGCAGAAGUUCUUCCAUCCCGAGGUAUGGGAUUGGUAACCUAGUUAUCUACUAGUUUGCUGUCAUGUUGUCAUGCUCGGUCUUUCUGAAGGAUGUUAUCCUGGGUACAGAGUGAGAGAGAACACUAACCAAGGACUGGAUUGGAUGUGCAAUUCUGGAGCAGGCAGAACCCACUUAGGGGAUCGAGCAGAGCUCUCUAAAACAACAGGGGAUGAGGGAGUCUUGCUGUUGAUGAUAGACCAGUGAAAGAUAGCUUCUAGACCUUUACCUCACCUUGCCUCAGUUUCUCCAAUGAUGUGAGUGACUAAUGGUUCCUUGGGAUAGAAAACAGAUCCAAAAUGGCUUUUAAGAUCACUUGAAAAAAAUACUCAGGGUUUAUGAGUCCUCAGGUAUGCCUUAAAUUAGAUUGAUAAAAGUCUCUGAGUAAUGCAUAUGAUCUAUAAAGGAAGUAUUAAGCCUUCCUUGUCUAUAUGCCAAGAGGCUUAAGAAAGAGGAUACAAGCACUUUCUAAUUUAGAUGUCUGAAGUUCAAAUCCCAGCUGAACCUCCAAUGAGCUGUGUGACCUUGGAUCAGUUGGUCAACUACUCUCUGCCUGUUUUCCCUAUCUAUAACAGAAAUCAUGAGUAUGCCCUCCCUCAGAGGGUAGCUAUGGGGAAUAAAUAAGUUCAUGCUGGAGUGCCUGGCCCUUGCCCCCCGCCCCCGUGUGUGUGUGUGUGUGUGUGUGUGUGUGUGUGUGUGUGUGUGCUUUCCCUUCACACCCACUGUCACUGAGCUGUCUGUGGAAAGCAGGCCCAUGCUCACUGACUGAAAUUGAUUUAAUUCUUUGCCAUUCACUUGCUGUAAGACCUGAUUGUUGAAAGUCAGAGAUCACUUAUUGGUGGAAUACACAGAAAGACAAAAUUUACUUUCUUAAAGAAAAAGAAUAAUUAACCAUUUCUCCCAAUGACCCUUUAACUCUGGAACUGCUAACAAUUCAUAAAUAUCUCUUCCCAAGAGUUUUAUCAAAUAUGGUGAGGAUUUAUAUCUCACAUUCUAAAGGAAGUUCAAGGGAACCCAUUGGAGGGGGUCUAGUGUCAUGGCUGAGGUGGUGAAGAUGUCUGCUGUCAAACCUGAUAACCAGGGAUUGAUUCUCAGGACCCCGCCUGGUGGAAGGAAAGAAGUGACUCAAACAAAUAGUCCUCUGACCUCCACCUGCCUGGACCAUAUCCUCACAGAAUGAAUACAUGAACAUAAAAAGGUAUGUUCAAAUGUCCCAUAAGGGUAUCCCAGCAGUUCAGGCUGUGGUCCUGGAAGAUGAGGAAAGACAGUGUGGUGUCUGUGUAAACAACUGUGCUCUGGGAUGUGAAGAACAGAGAAAGGCUCAGGAAAAAGUGGGAGCUGCCAAAAGAUGCCACUGGCCAGAGGAAGGCCAAGUCAGAAGCCUGUAAAGAGCAUCACCAGGAGACACAGAGAGGAAGUGUGCAAGAAGGUGACUUAUGGGAUACACAAACCACAAUUCCAGCUUGGGUCUCAAUCCAGCAUAGUCUGAUGGUGUAAACACCCUGCCCUGGAGGUGUUCUGUGAGUUUGCGUAUUUAAUAUUUACUUCACUUUCUUUCCAGAAAGAGAAUCUUUAAAUGAUAAAGCCUACCAACAUGAAUGAUUGCAAAUGUGUGAGGUUUCCAACCAAAGCUACCUUUGCACCUAUGACUUUGUUCAGAACUGCAGGAUUGGCCACUGCGAGUUAGUGCUGUCAGAAUCCCCAAGGAGUGGCAGGUUGGUCUCCUCCCUUGAGAUAGAGUCUGAAGACAGCAGAAACCACAAUUUGGUGGCUUUGGGACAUGCUUUCACUGUCUGAAAUUCAUGGUGUCCAUUAGUUUGAUGGCUAAGAGCUCCAUACUGGCCAAAUCCAGUUCUGUCACUGUCUGGCUCUGACAUGUUGGGUGAAUUAUACACCUUCUGGAGAACUCUGUGGUGGCCUGUUUAAUUCUAUUGAGGAGGCUGGGUGGAUGCAGGAGCUGGCCUGUGCAAAGGCUAAGCAGGGAUCAAAUCUAAAUACUCAGUGUCAUCCGGGGCCUCCUCUUGGAGAGUCAUGAAGAGGACCGGUCAUGUGAUAGAGGAAGGUUACACAAAAAAGCUCACACAGGGCUUCUUCCCCUGCAUCACCCACUAUCCAUGCAUCUGUCAAGCGAGUGAGGGAUCCAACAUCUCUCAUGAGGGAAAAACCCAGGCAAAGAUUGGCUCAUGGCUGGCAUUUCCCUGAGGCUAUACUAAAAGGACAGGGUUUAGGAGGCAUAAGCACCUGCCCACAGUCUGACCAGCAAGCAGAUAGAGUUCUGGCAAACACAUCUGCAUGGAAAGUAUUUCCUAUUUCAUAGGAAGAUGAGACUUCUCUGUUAUAAGGCCCGAUGUUACUUGUGGCUUUCAUUUGCAGUACAAGUUGUUUGUUUCCACAGAGCCACAGUGUUGUGAGCAUUACAACUUACACAUGGGAUGGUUUGUCAGAUAGUGCAAGCUUCUUGGCUAAAUGAAUUUGCAAGUGUCAAAUCAAAUAAAUGACACAAAUUCAUUCUUUUUAAAAGAUGAGUUUAGAUGUGCAAAGUUGCAUCCUGAAGCACAGAAAAGGCCUCAGAAGUAUCCCGUAUUUCAGGUUCUGUCCCCGCUACCUGCUGGCCUGCUAUGAUUCCCAUUUGCUGUCUCCUUCUAGAACCUCACCACAGGGUCCUGGGAGAGGAACCAGCAAACCUCUGGUGAAAGGCUGGAGAGAAAAGAUCUUGAGUUUUGAAGGCCACACAGUCCCUGUUACACCCACCCUCGCUCUCUCUUUACAGUGUGAAAAAAAUCAGACAUGAUAUGUAAAUUAGUGAUUUGAUGUAUUCUAAUGAAGCGUUGUUUACACAAUAAAUCGAGGGUAAGAUUUUUGCAGUCAAUCAUAGCUUACUGACUCUCCCUUUUAGAGCUAACUGCAUAGUAGACAUUAGCAAACACUAAACUGCCUUGAAGCUCAAUGCUAUAAGGUCAGACUUUUUUUUAACCUCUAGACAUCUAUCAACACAGAACCAGUCCUCACACACCCAGAAUGACUGCUGCAGCCUUACCCCGUGUCCCCUUGUUAGCACCCCAUGCUCAACCACAUAGCCUCCCAAGUCCAGCUCUCAGGGAAUUGCUUAUAUUCUGCUCCUGGUAUGAACAUUUAUUUAUUAUAGCCAGCUCUUUAUCCUGUGGUCCAGUCCUGCUAUCUAGUGUAUGGACGGAGUUCUAGAAAUGUGAGCAGAAUGAAUGAGUUAAGGAAAGAAUGAAAGAAUGAGAAAGAGAGAGAGAGAGAGAGAGAGAUAAUCACCCUACAUCAGGAAAUACUUCAACUGUACUCGUGUGUGUGUGUGUGUGUGUGUGUGUGUGUGUGUGUGUGUGUCACAGAGACAGAGAGAUGAGAGACAGAGAGACCUGGAUACUUUAAAUCACAAGUCCUGAUUCUGCAGGUUUACAAUGAAUCUCAGUCCUGCUGCUGGCCCACAGCGUAUCCUGGGGUAGCGAGGACCCGAGGAGCACACUGGCCUCACAUACUGGUGCUCAUACCUCCACAGAUGCACAGAUUUCUUUCCCAACUGCAUGUGUUGUGUCUGCUAUUUUCCUCCCUACAGUCAUUUCAUUACAUUUCCUUCCAUCCAGUCAAAACUCCAAACAAAAUUAAUAAAACAGCACCAAAUGAG
rnacentral:sRNA from 1 species